UACAGAGGGUGCAAGCGUUAAUCGGAAUUACUGGGCGUAAAGCGUGCGUAGACGGUCAUGUAAGUCGGGUGUGAAAUCUCGGAGCUUAACUCCGAAACUGCAUCGAUACUGCCGUGCUUGAGGACUGGAGAGGAGACUGGAAUUUACGGUGUAGCGGUGAAAUGCGUAGAUAUCGUAAGGAAGACCAGUGGCGAAGGCGGGUCUCUGGACAGUUCCUGACGCUGAGGCACGAAGGCCAGGGGAGCAAACGGG
rnacentral:rRNA from 1 species